AAUUGAACUCGCUGUGAAGAUGCAGUGUACCCGCGGCAAGACGGAAAGACCCCGUGAACCUUUACUAUAGCUUGACACUGAACAUUGAGCCUUGAUGUGUAGGAUAGGUGGGAGGCUUUGAAGCGUGGACGCCAGUCUGCGUGGAGCCGGCCUUGAAAUACCACCCUUUAAUGUUUGAUGUUCUAACGUGGACCCGUGAUCCGGGUUGCGGACAGUGUCUGGUGGGUAGUUUGACUGGGGCGGUCUCCUCCUAAAGAGUAACGGAGGAGCACGAAGGUUGGCUAAUCCUGGUCGGACAUCAGGAGGUUAGUGCAAUGGCAUAAGCCAGCUUGACUGCGAGCGUGACGGCGCGAGCAGGUGCGAAAGCAGGUCAUAGUGAUCCGGUGGUUCUGAAUGGAAGGGCCAUCGCUCAACGGAUAAAAGGUACUCCGGGGAUAACAGGCUGAUACCGCCCAAGAGUUCAUAUCGACGGCGGUGUUUGGCACCUCGAUGUCGGCUCAUCACAUCCUGGGGCUGAAGUAGGUCCCAAGGGUAUGGCUGUUCGCCAUUUAAAGUGGUACGCGAGCUGGGUUUAGAACGUCGUGAGACAGUUCGGUCCCUAUCUGCCGUGGGCGCUGGAGAACUGAGGGGGGCUGCUCCUAGUACGAGAGGACCGGAGUGGACGCAUCACUGGUGUUCGGGUUGUCAUGCCAAUGGCACUGCCCGGUAGCUAAAUGCGGAAGAGAUAAGUGCUGAAAGCAUCUAAGCACGAAACUUGCCCCGAGAUGAGUUCUCCCUGAGACUUUAAGUCUCCUGAAGGAACGUUGAAGACGACGACGUUGAUAGGCCGGGUGUGUAAGCGCAGCGAUGCGUUGAGCUAACCGGUACUAAUGAACCGUGAGGCUUAACCUUACAACGCCGAAG
rnacentral:rRNA from 1 species